UUCGUUUUGCAUUUCAUCACGGUUAUGUAAUAGGAUCGAUGUUAAUAUGGGGAAACCAGCUUGACCAACCCCCGUUUGGUUUAUGGGUAUCAGGAGAGGAGGAAAUGGAAGGGGGCAACAACGCGGGCCACGAAGGUACCGCAGGGUAGAGGCCGGGCGGAGCAGCACGGGGAGGAAAGCGGAGGGGAGGAGGUGUCGGAGACGUGGAGGCGGCUCGGAGGAAAGGUCCGCCGUUUUCCGUGGAGGGCGGGGUGGGUGCGGGGUGCGGGGAGGAAGGGCCGGGGCGCAGCGGCGGCGGCGCCGGAUGCCUCCGCGGGUCGACGACCCAGGGCAGCUGUGCGUCUGUAAGUAGUAGCGGCGGAGGCAGCAAUGGCGCCAAAGGAACAGGGAGCAGGAGCCGGAGUUCCCCCUGGGGCAAGGCACGCUGGCCACACGACCUUUGCCUCCGUGUUUCACGCAGAAGACGUUACUGCCGUUCUACUUCCGCCUAUUGCCCCACCAACUUACGUCCCAUACGUCUCCUCGUCCCGACUAUGAGACGUUCUUCACGAGUCCAAGACCAAUGAGAUUCGCGAACAUCGGGGUCGGGGUCGAUGUCUUGUAGUACACGUAAACAGUUGGCCCGUUCAACGCUCAAAUACACACCCGCGACAUGUCUAUUUACCUCCUGAGAGAGGUAACGGCUUGACAAAUCUAUCUAUACUCAUAUAUGCUACCGCUACUACAUAAUCUUAUACGUCUUAACAUACAAAGCGGGACAGGUACAUAUGGGCAGGAAUUAGAAGACUAUUCUAUAUCAUGCAUGCUACCGAGGUGCAGGGGACAAAUCAAGUACAAAAAUAUGAUACAUGGUUUUGACUACAAUGGUCAGUCUAAAUAGUUACAACGUUGAAAACGUCGG
rnacentral:rRNA from 1 species